rnacentral:tRNA from 1 species
CCUGGGCCAUUAGCUCAGGUGGUUAGAGCGCACCCCUGAUAAGGGUGAGGUCCCUGGUUCAAGUCCAGGAUGGCCCAUAUCUCUAUGUUGGGGGUAUAGCUCAGUUGGUAGAGCGCCUGCUUUGCAAGCAGGAUGUCAGCGGUUCGAGUCCGCUUACCUCCACUGAAUACCACCUCUUACAUAUAGUUGAAGUGGGAAAUUGUUUUGAGUCGUGUCCUAAUUUGCUCUGAGCGAAUCUAGCUUCCUAUUUUAUCCAAGAAAUAAGAUGCUGGACUCAUUGAAUUUUUUUUCAUUGUUUUCAGAGAACCUUGACAACUGCAUAGAUUAUUUUUAAAGACAAUAAGCAUCUUUAAUGAUGCAGAUUUAUUAUUUGUGCGAAUGCAUUAAAUAACAAUUCUAUUAAGCUGAUGCUUCAAUUAUUGAAGUUAUUGGUCAAGCUACAAAGGGCUCACGGAGGAUACCUAGGCACACAGAGGCGAUGAA